rnacentral:lncRNA from 1 species
CGCUAAUUAGUGAGACCCCCUCCGCAACGGAGCACCCGUGUCAAACGGUAAAAAAUCCCUUAUUUUUAUUUAAUACUGUUUAAAAACAUGGAGCAGACUAGAUUAGAAUAUAUACAAUCCUUACAAGAAUAUUGUUGUCCUAAAACCAUGUAGUAAUGUAAAAUCUAUCAUAAAAAUAUUUACACACUUUCUUGUUCGGAACUUUCUGGAUACUUCUUUGGGAAGUAGGACAAAUCGCCCCACACCAAAUCGCCC